rnacentral:rRNA from 1 species
UACGGAGGGAGCUAGCGUUGUUCGGAAUUACUGGGCGUAAAGCGCGCGUAGGCGGCUUUGUAAGUUAGAGGUGAAAGCCCGGGGCUCAACCCCGGAAUUGCCUUUAAGACUGCAUCGCUUGAAUCCGGGAGAGGUGAGUGGAAUUCCGAGUGUAGAGGUGAAAUUCGUAGAUAUUCGGAAGAACACCAGUGGCGAAGGCGGCUCACUGGACCGGCAUUGACGCUGAGGUGCGAAAGCGUGGGGAGCAAACGGG